ensembl:lncRNA
UCUCAAUGCUGGAGAGCGUUUGUGAUGCUGAAGCAGUGAUCAGUUUUUCUGUUUCUUCUCUGGAGAUGCACAAUGAGGGACGUCUGCAGCGACUGAGAAAGAGUCUCACCACAUCCUUACAUGAGGAAGAAGACUUUAUUGAAGACUACAAUGAGAAAAACUAUCAGACAGCAGAUGGCUGCAUUCAAGUCUGUAGCUGCUGAAUUCAUGGAUGAAUCAUCUGGCACUAGAGAAGAAGACCAUCAAACAUCCACGUCAGCUGAUGGAGGUCCAAGAGUCUCACCAAACAAACAACCUACAGAGUGAAGACCUCAAAUCUGAUUGGACGGCCUCCUAUUCAGCCACGUGCUACAGGAGGAGCCCUAUGAGGACGAGCCGGUCCACCUGAUGGUGGCCAGUCGCUGUGGUUCAAAGCCAACACCGACUACGUGGACUUCUACUGGACCACACGGAGGCCUUCAAACCAGACCAACAAGUUCACCGACUCCC